CGAACGGCUCACUAAGACAGGCGGAUCUGACCACCGGCAAGGAUUACCACGGGAAACUGAGGCUAAGACUAUGUUGGGUGAACGUCUGGCCUAUCAGCUUGUCGGUAUGGUAAGUGCGUACGGGGGCUAUGACGGGUAACGGGGAAUCGGGGUUUGAUUCCGGAGAGGGAGCCUGAGAGAUGCGCUGCCACGUCCAAGGACGGCAGCAGGCGCGAAACUUACCCACUUGGAGGACCAUAGGUAGUGACGAGGCGUGACGAUGCGUCUACGGUAAAUAAGUAAGCGAAAGCGACUGGAGGGCAAGUCUGGUGCCAGCAU
rnacentral:rRNA from 1 species